rnacentral:tRNA from 1 species
GAGGAUGUGACUCCAUGGUAGAGUGCUUGUCUAGAAUGUAAGAGGCCCUGGGUUCGAUCCCCAGUAUUGAAA